rnacentral:tRNA from 1 species
GUGGGAGUAGCGUAGUUGGUUAACGCGCCAGAUUGUGGCUCUGGAGAGCGAGGGUUCGAGUCCCUUCUUCCACC